rnacentral:rRNA from 1 species
AACGAACGCUGGCGGCAGGCUUAACACAUGCAAGUCGAGCGCCCCGCAAGGGGAGCGGCAGACGGGUGAGUAACGCGUGGGAAUCUACCUUUUGCUACGGAAUAACUCAGGGAAACUUGUGCUAAUACCGUAUGUGCCCUUCGGGGGAAAGGAUUUAUCGGCAAAGGAUGAGCCCGCGUUGGAUUAGCUAGUUGGUGGGGUAAAGGCCCACCAAGGCGACGAUCCAUAGCUGGUCUGAGAGGA